CACCGAAAAAUUAAGUCAUAUGCUUAUAUGGUGAAAAGACAGUUAAAUAUGUUUAGGUUUUAGGGUUGAUUUAAUGCUUUGUAUAGAGGUAAAAUUCAAGUAUAAUUGUAUAAUUUAUUAAUAACUUAUAAAUUGAAUCUGUGAAAUCCUUAAGGGAAACUGGGAUUAGGUACCCCAUUAUUUUUGGAUAUAAAGUUGAUGAAGUUUACCAGAGUACUAUGAAUAUUAAAAAUUUAAAACUCAAAGGACUUGGCGGUGUUUUAGACCACUUAGGGGAACCUGUCUCGUAAUCGAUGAUCCACGAUGCACCUGACCUUUUUUUGUUUUCAGCUUGUAUACCGUUGUCGUCAGGUAACUUUUUAGAGAUUAAUAGUUAGCAAUAGAAAUUAAAUAUAAUUUAGUACGUCAAAUCAAGGUGCAGCUAAUGGAAAGGAGAGGAUGGGUUACAAUUAUAUGAAUUAUAGCGGAUAUAUGUAUGAAGUUGCAUAAAUUAUAAGGUGGACUUAAAAGUAAAUUAGAAUAUAUAAAUAAUUUGAAUGAGGCUCUGAAGCGUGU
rnacentral:rRNA from 1 species